rnacentral:sRNA from 1 species
AAUUAGCCCCGAUUGCAGCGGCACGAAUCCCGAUUUUUCGUCGGGAGAAGUACAGCGAAAAGCGGGAACAAAG